rnacentral:rRNA from 1 species
GGAUGAACGCUGGCGGCGUGCCUAAUACAUGCAAGUCGAGCGAACAGACGAGGAGCUUGUUCCUCUGACGUUAGCGGCGGACGGGUGAGUAACACGUGGAUAACCUACCUAUAAGACUGGGAUAACUUCGGGAAACCGGAGCUAAUACCGGAUAAUAUAUUGAACCGCAUGGUUCAAUAGUGAAAGACGGUUUUGCUGUCACUUAUAGAUGGAUCCGCGCCGCAUUAGCUAGUUGGUAAGGUAACGGCUUACCAAGGCAACGAUGCGUAGCCGACCUGAGAGGGUGAUCGGCCACACUGGAACUGAGACACGGUCCAGACUCCUACGGGAGGCAGCAGUAGGGAAUCUUCCGCAAUGGGCGAAAGCCUGACGGAGCAACGCCGCGUGAGUGAUGAAGGUCUUCGGAUCGUAAAACUCUGUUAUUAGGGAAGAACAAAUGUGUAAGUAACUAUGCACGUCUUGACGGUACCUAAUCAGAAAGCCACGGCUAACUACGUG